GGCUCGGUAGCUUAGUUGGAAAAGCACUUGCCUAACGAAUAAGGGUCGUGAGUUCAAAUCUCACCUGAGCUG
rnacentral:tRNA from 1 species